UUUGUCUUCUCUUUCGGUGGUUCUGGAGUAAAUCGUUCUCCAUGAUAAACAUAAAAAAAAAUCGUUUCAGUCUAAAUCAAAUUGUUCACUCUAUCACCAAAGUCAAUCGAUCUAAGUACUUUAAGCUUCAUACAAAUCUCUUUGAGAGAUUGUUGUGUCAUAUAUGGAUAUCUCGAAGAAACAGAGAAAAAAGAGAAUUUCAGAUACCAAAGGUUAGUAGUUAGUACGAACUUAUCUGUACGAACUUAUCAAACACACAUACAAUUUUAUCUGCGAGUAUGAACUCAAAAGAGUCUCCACCCGAAUAAUUUGAGUUUUGUGUCCAUGAAUGAAGAACUUUGACUUCAACCUUCCAAAUAAUUUUAAAUGGCUUGACAUUGUUCAAGCCAGUGAUUUCAUUGGAUGUAACCAUAGCCAUAUCAGUCUCUCUUUGCUUUUUUUGUGAGGUGUAGAGAAAUGUUUAGGUGACGGAAGAUUAUUUAUAGUGAUUUGGUACUAAAUGUUAGGUAUAAUGAGGAUCGAAAGAUAUAUUCCGAUUUCCAUAAUCUAUUGACUUGUUAGCUAUAUUUGAUUUGCAUAUUUUUUAGGAACCGUUAUAUGAAGUUAAGAUAUGAAAUCUAAUGAAUGUAGAUGGGAAGCUGAUUAAUAGGGAGCUUGUUGGUUUGAUCAAAAAAAAGGGAGCUUGUUGUUAAUGAUCUGAACAGAAGCAAACACAGAAGAAUUUGUUAUGUUACCUUACGUACAGACUUUUCUUGGACAGCAAGAUAGUCUAGACACCAGGUUUGCUUCACUUAUGUACGUAAGAUGUAAUCUAUAGA